rnacentral:rRNA from 1 species
UACGGGGGGGGCAAGCGUUGUUCGGAAUUACUGGGCGUAAAGGGCGUGUAGGCGGCCAACUAAGUCCGACGUGAAAUCCCCAGGCUUAACCUGGGAACUGCGUCGGAUACUGGAUGGCUUGAAUCCGGGAGAGGGAUGCAGAAUUCCAGGUGUAGCGGUGAAAUGCGUAGAUAUCUGGAGGAAUACCGGUGGCGAAGGCGGCAUCCUGGACCGGCAUUGACGCUGAAGCGCGAAAGCUAGGGGAGCAAACAGGG